UACGUAGGGAGCAAGCGUUGUCCGGAAUCAUUGGGCGUAAAGAGCGCGUAGGCGGCCCUGUAAGUCCGUUCUGAAAGUCGGAGGCUCAACCUCCAAAGCGGAUGGAUACUGCGGGUAGAUCCGGAAGAGGCGAGUGGAAUUCCUGGUGUAGCGGUGGAAUGCGCAGAUAUCAGGAGGAACACCAACGGCGAAGGCAGCUCG
rnacentral:rRNA from 1 species